AUACGGAGGACGCGAGCGUUGUCCGGAUUCAUUGGGUUUAAAGGGCGCGCAGGCGGCCGUGCAAGUCAGCGGUGAAAGCCCGGGGCCCAACCCCGGAAGUGCCGUUGAUACUGCAUGGCUUGAAUGCGGUCGAGGCGGGCGGGACGUGGCGUGUAGCGGGGAAAUGCGUAGAUAUGCCACAGAAAGCCGCUAGCGGGGGCAGCUCGCCAGGCCUGCAUUGACGCUCGGGCACGAAAGCGUGGGGAUCGAACAGGAUUAGAUACCCUGGUAGUCCACGCCGUAAACGAUGGGCGCUCGUCGUCGGCGGCAGACAGUCGGCGGCCAAGCGAAAGCGAUAAGCGCCCCACCUGGGGAGUACGGUCGCAAGGCUGAAACUCAAAUGAAUUGACGGG
rnacentral:rRNA from 1 species